GGUACUCCAAAAAAAUGAGAAGAUAUUACUUUUACCUUCCUACUGAACAAAAGGUAUUUGUCAGCAGUAAGACACACUUUUUUGGAAAAGGAGUUCCUCAGUGAAGGAAUAAAUGUCUCUAAAGUCAUGCUUGAUGAAGUUCGACAGGUAGAAGAAACGACACCAGUAACUGAAUCUGAAUCAAAUUUUAUAAGAUCAAAUCCAAAGCCCAAUAUACAAACAUCUUUAAGG
rnacentral:lncRNA from 1 species